rnacentral:rRNA from 1 species
CAUGUCUUGUUGAAUUAAAUAAUAAGUUUAUUCUGCCCAUUGAAUUAAAUUUAAAAGGCUGCAGUAUAUUGACUGUACAAAGGUAGCAAAAUCAAUAGUUUUUUAAUUGAAAACUUGAAUGAAAGAAUUGAUAAAAUAUAAUCUGUCUCUAAUUUAUUUAAUUUGAAUUUAAAUUUAAAGUUAAAAUGCUUUAAUAGAUUUAUUAGACGAUAAGACCCUAAGAAUUUAAAAAUGUUAAUUUAAAAUUUUUAUUUUUUAAUUUUUAAUUUAUUAAAUUAAUAUUUUUUUAUUGGGAGGGUAAUUAAAUGUUUGAACUUUAAUUUUUAUUAAACAUAGAUAAAUGAAUUUUUAAUGAUAAUUUUUAUAAUUAUAAGAGUAAAUUACCUUAGGGAUAACAGCGUAAUAAUUUUGGAAAGUUCAUAUUAAUAAAAUUGAUUGCGACCUCGAUGUUGAAUUAAAAUAAAAAUUAAGUGAAGAAGCUUAAAAUUUUAGUCUGUUCGACUAUUAAAAUUUUACGUGAUCUGAGUUCA